AUUGAACGCUGGCGGCAGGCCUAACACAUGCAAGUCGAGCGGUAGAGAGGUGCUUGCACCUCUUGAGAGCGGCGGACGGGUGAGUAAUGCCUAGGAAUCUGCCUGGUAGUGGGGGAUAACGCUCGGAAACGGACGCUAAUACCGCAUACGUCCUACGGGAGAAAGCAGGGGACCUUCGGGCCUUGCGCUAUCAGAUGAGCCUAGGUCGGAUUAGCUAGUUGGUGAGGUAAUGGCUCACCAAGGCGACGAUCCGUAACUGGUCUGAGAGGAUGAUCAGUCACACUGGAACUGAGACACGGUCCAGACUCCUACGGGAGGCAGCAGUGGGGAAUAUUGGACAAUGGGCGAAAGCCUGAUCCAGCCAUGCCGCGUGUGUGAAGAAGGUCUUCGGAUUGUAAAGCACUUUAAGUUGGGAGGAAGGGUCGUUACCUAAUACGUGACGAUUUUGACGUUACCGACAGAAUAAGCACCGGCUAACUCUGUGCCAGCCGCCGCCGUAACAC
rnacentral:rRNA from 1 species